UUGACCUCGGAUCAGGUAGGAAUACCCGCUGAACUUAAGCAUAUCAAUAAGCGGAGGAAAAGAAACCAACAGGGAUUGCCCCAGUAACGGCGAGUGAAGCGGCAACAGCUCAAAUUUGAAAUCUGGCCCCAGGCCCGAGUUGUAAUUUGCAGAGGAUGCUUCGGGCGCGACGCCUUCCAAGUCCCCUGGAACGGGGCGCCUUAGAGGGUGAGAGCCCCGUACGGUUGGACGUCAAGCCUGUGUGAAGCUCCUUCGACGAGUCGAGUAGUUUGGGAAUGCUGCUCAAAAUGGGAGGUAGACCCCUUCUAAAGCUAAAUACCGGCCAGAGACCGAUAGCGCACAAGUAGAGUGAUCGAAAGAUGAAAAGCACUUUGAAAAGAGGGUUAAACAGCACGUGAAAUUGUUGAAAGGGAAGCGCUCGUGACCAGACUUGCGCCGGGGCGAUCAUCUGGCGUUCUCGCCGGUGCACUCGCCCCGGCUCAGGCCAGCGUCGGUUCGGGAGGGGGGACAAAGGCGUCGGGGAUGUGGCUCCCUCGGGAGUGUUAUAGCCCGGCGUGCAAUGCCCCCGCCCGGACCGAGGUUCGCGCUCUGCAAGGACGCUGGCGUAAUGGUCACCAGCGGCCCGUCUUGAAACACGGACCAAGGAGUCGAGGUUCUGCGCGAGUGUUUGGGUGUCAAACCCGCACGCGUAAUGAAAGUGAACGUAGGUGGGAGCCUCGGCGCACCACCGACCGAUCCUGAUGUUCUCGGAUGGAUUUGAGUAGGAGCGUAGGGCCUCGGACCCGAAAGAUGGUGAACUAUGCUUGGAUAGGGUGAAGCCAGAGGAAACUCUGGUGGAGGCUCGCAGCGGUUCUGACGUGCAAAUCGAUCGUCAAAUCUGAGCAUGGGGGCGAAAGACUAAUCGAACCAUCUAGUAGCUGGUUACCGCCGAAGUUUCCCUCAGGAUAGCAGUGUUGUCUUCAGUUUUAUGAGGUAAAGCGAAUGAUUAGGGACUCGGGGGCGCUAUAUUGCCUUCAUCCAUUCUCAAACUUUAAAUAUGUAAGAAGCCCUUGUUGCUUAAUUGAACGUGGGCAUUCGAAUGCAUCAACACUAGUGGGCCAUUUUUGGUAAGCAGAACUGGCGAUGUGGGAUGAACCAUACGCGGGGUUAAGGUGCCGGAGUGGACGCUCAUCAGACACCA
rnacentral:rRNA from 1 species